ACGAACGCUGGCGGCAGGCCUAACACAUGCAAGUCGAACGCCCCGCAAGGGGAGUGGCAGACGGGUGAGUAACACGUGGGAACCUUCCCUAUAGUAUGGAAUAGCCCAGGGAAACUUGGAGUAAUACCGUAUACGCCCGCAAGGGGAAAGAUUUAUCGCUAUAGGAUGGGCCCGCGUAGGAUUAGCUAGUUGGUGAGGUAAUGGCUCACCAAGGCGACGAUCCUUAGCUGGUUUGAGAGAACGACCAGCCACACUGGGACUGAGACACGGCCCAGACUCCUACGGGAGGCAGCAGUGGGGAAUAUUGGACAAUGGGCGAAAGCCUGAUCCAGCCAUGCCGCGUGAGUGAUGAAGGCCUUAGGGUUGUAAAGCUCUUUUGCCGGGGACGAUAAUGACGGUACCCGGAGAAUAAGUCCCGGCUAACUUCGU
rnacentral:rRNA from 1 species